AAACAACGGGAUAUCACAUAUAACAUGAUCCAAAACAGUUAAAUAAUAAUUUAACCAAAAGUCGUAAACAUUGCAGCGGAAUUUAGUUCAUAAUCCAUAAAUCAGUUUGGCACGUAGGCCCCAUCAAAAUAUCUCAAAUGAGUUAAAUCAACUUAACAAAACAUAAUAAUUGUUCAACAUCAUAAAACAUAAACAUGAUAGUCACGUAAGAGAAUGAAGCAUG
rnacentral:lncRNA from 1 species